rnacentral:rRNA from 1 species
UGGGGAAUAUUGCACAAUGGGCGCAAGCCUGAUGCAGCCAUGCCGCGUGUGUGAAGAAGGCCUUCGGGUUGUAAAGCACUUUCAGCGGGGAGGAAGGCGAUAAGGUUAAUAACCUUGUCGAUUGACGUUACCCGCAGAAGAAGCACCGGCUAACUCCGUGCCAGCAGCCGCGGUAAUACGGAGGGUGCAAGCGUUAAUCGGAAUUACUGGGCGUAAAGCGCACGCAGGCGGUCUGUCAAGUCGGAUGUGAAAUCCCCGGGCUCAACCUGGGAACUGCAUUCGAAACUGGCAGGCUAGAGUCUUGUAGAGGGGGGUAGAAUUCCAGGUGUAGCGAUGAAAUGCGUAAAGAUCUGGAGGAAUACCGGUGGCGAAGGCGGCCCCCUGGACAAAGACUGACGCUCAGGUGCGAAAGCGUGUGGAGCAAACAGG